UAAACUAGGAUUAGAUACCCUAUUAUUUUAAGCUUUAUAUUGUUAGUAUAUAGUAAUUAUGAAAUCAAAAGAUUUUGGCGGUAUUUUAAGCUUUUUAGAGGAAUUUGCUCUGUAAUGGAUAAAACGCCUUGAUCUUACUUAAUUUGGUUAAAUCAGUUUGUAUACCACUAUAUUUAAUAAUAUUAAAUAAUUAUAUUUAAGAUUUUUUUAUGAAAAAAAUAUAUUAAGUCAAGGUGCAAUAUAAAAUUAUGAAUGAAGUGAAUUACAUUGAUUUUAAUUAGGUAUGAUGAAAAAUAAGAUUAGGAUUUAAAAGUAAAUUAUUAAUAUAAUGAGUAAUUGAAUUGAGCUCUAGAAUAUGCACACAUCGCCCGUC
rnacentral:rRNA from 1 species